rfam:Dipodomys ordii contig_59054, whole genome shotgun sequence.
GGUGGCUCAGUGGUAGAGUGCUUGCCUUGCAUGCAUGAAGCCCUGGGUUUGAUUCCCCAGCACCA